UACGUAGGCAGCGAGCGUUGUUCGGAAUUACUGGGCGUAAAGAGUGUGUAGGCGGUGCUCUAAGUUCGGUGUGAAAUCUCCCGGCUUAACUGGGAGGGUGCGCCGGAAACUGGAGUGCUCGAGCGUGGGAGAGGAAAGCGGAAUUCCUGGUGUAGCGGUGAAAUGCGUAGAUACCAGGAGGAACACCUGCGGUGUAGACGGCUUUCUGGACCAUUGCUGACGCUGAGACACGAAAGCGUGGGUAGCAAACAGG
rnacentral:rRNA from 1 species